GUGGGAGGUAGAGGCAAAUUGCUUGGCUGCCAAUUUUGAACAGCCAGACACCAGGGUGAUUGGAAGAGCACAGGUAGGUGCCCUCUGCAUCAGAGAGGCUCAAAAAACAAUUUCAU